UACGGAGGGUGCAAGCGUUAUCCGGAUUCACUGGGUUUAAAGGGUGCGUAGGAGGGCAGGUAAGUCAGUGGUCGAAAUCCCCGAGCUUAACUUGGGAACUGCCGUUGAUACUAUCUGUCUUGAAUACCGUGGAGGUGAGCGGAAUAUGUCAUGUAGCGGUGAAAUGCUUAGAUAUGACAUAGAACACCAAUUGCGAAGGCAGCUCGCUACACGAAUAUUGACUCUGAGGCACGAAAGCGUGGGGAUCAAACAGG
rnacentral:rRNA from 1 species